rnacentral:rRNA from 1 species
UACGAAGGGGGCUAGCGUUGUUCGGAAUUACUGGGCGUAAAGCGUGCGCAGGCGGCUUCUCAAGUCAGGGGUGAAAGCCCAGAGCUCAACUCUGGAAUUGCCUUUGAGACUGAGUGGCUUGAGUACGAGAGAGGUGAGUGGAAUUCCCAGUGUAGAGGUGAAAUUCGUAGAUAUUGGGAAGAACACCGGUGGCGAAGGCGGCCACCUGGACGGUAACUGACGCUGAGACGCGAAAGCGUGGGGAGCAAACAGG